rnacentral:lncRNA from 1 species
AACACUUCUACGCAUUAUGAUGACAGCAGGACGUUUCCAAAAUAGCUUUCUGCAUUCUGCAGCCUGUCGUUAGACAACGCAACUGCGGCUGUUAUCGUGCUCAGGAAUUUUCCUGGUGAAAAACAACGAGGUAAAACCGAGCGAAGUUGAGGAGCCGGUGUGUCUCCCCACUAGUAAAGUUCCUGUCUUCCAUGAUGCAGGUCACCAGGAGCAGCAAUCUGGCGACGCGCCUUUCGACUUGGCCGCGCAUUCAAAGAUCGAUGCGUCAAAGUACUCCUGGAGAGGCUGAACAGGUAUGGAUGCAAAAGCGAGAGUUCGGUUUUCCCUCGAUCUCCGGGACGUAAACGCAAACCUGAGAAAUUUCACGAGGAAAGGAGAAAAUCCAGGUGGGUUGAGACCGACUGGAAAUCCCGUCCAAAAGUGCCAGGCGCUGCGGUUUGGGAUCUGGGUUUGAAGUCACCGUAAGCUGAUGAGUUUCUUUUCUCCACAAGUUUGGCGGGACGGACAACGCCACAGGGGCGUGAAUAUUGACGAACGUGCAGCCGACGAUGGGGAAACAGGCACUGUUCUGGACGGAAAACGACUUGGCCGUAGAACUGCUCGGAUAACGUGUUUUCUCGCGCCGCUCCGUGUGUGGUUUUGAGGCUCCGUGGUCUUUGUUCCGCGGCGUACCAGACGCUUUUCGCCUCGUUCUUUUACUGCAACUCCAAUUUUCAGCUCUGGCGGUUCGGGAGCAGAAUGGCCAACGCACGCAUUGCGCAAGGCAGUUAUCUCGUGUUCUGGUUUAUUCGCUGUCCCAUCUGGGCCGCGCUGAUUGAGUACUCGAUUUACCAGAGAACAAACGGGAGAGAAACAGUCGCUCGCUGUCAGGUUCGCUGUUCGCC